rnacentral:rRNA from 1 species
UACGAGGGGGGCGAGCGUUGUUCGGAAUCACUGGGCGUAAAGAGUGCGUAGGCGGUCGUGAAAGUUAGGAGUGAAAGCCCAAGGCUCAACCUUGGAAUUGCUCUUAAUACUACACGACUUGAAUUCGGGAGAGGAUAGCGGAAUUGUCAGUGUAGCAGUGAAAUGCGUAGAUAUUGACAGGAACACCGGUGGCGUAAGCGGCUAUCUGGACCGACAUUGACGCUGAGGCACGAAAGCGUGGGGAUCAAACAGG